GGAAAAGUCUAGUUACAUGAAAUCGUGUCAACCAGAAGAAAAUAGCUUAGAACUUCCCUAGUGAGGCCAGUCUGUGAAAAUGCAAAGGCGUGUGCUUACUGUUAAGCUAGGACACUUGAGCACCAGAGGACCCAGGCUCUGUGUUUCUCAUAGAUGCCUACCACGUGAUCUCUUUUAGUUGUUCAACAUGCUCGGUCAUGCUCUCUUAAUAUUUACUGAUACUAAUGAGGGAAACCCAAGAAGCUAGGCUGAGUAUUUAAGUGAUCAGGUGGUAUGCUUUGCAUGAACAAGUAAUACUCGCGUUUCUAGCUUUCUCUCCAACCUAGAGUUUUUGUAAUUCAGCCUUUGGUGCUGAACCAGAGCCAGGAGGGUGAGUGGAAAAGGUCAUUGAUGAGACAUUUAGGUGCAUGUCAGACGGCUUCAUAGGAGGAAUUUGGGGAAGAUAAAAACCUUUCGGCUGUUUUGGACCACCUUCCUUCUGCAGAGCAAGUAGAAACUCCCUGGAAUAAGAGUUACAUUUGGAGUUCUACCCAAGGGCUCCUGCUGCCUCCAGACACGAGGACACACUGAGAUGUGACCUCCUUAGUUAUGGGUCUAAUGGCAAUGAGAAGUAUUUGGGGUGCCUGGUGCCUUCCAGGUACAGACAGUUCUGAGCUGUCAUGUGGGUCCUGGGACUCGAUCAAACCUUGGAACUCUGGGAGAGCGGUCAGUAUCACCUCUAAGCCAUCUGCAGUUUCCCCAAAACUUAAAUAUGCUUUCAGACUCUCUUUUCUAUUUGUUUCUUUUCUAUUUGUUUCUCUUUUCUCUUUUUUUCCCCCAGUACCACACUACUAACAGAACUUACAGGAAGUUUUGGUAUCUAGAAGGGAGCAGCCUGCCUGCCUGAAGGAAAUUUCUUUUCUAAAAAUGAUUCAUCGCUCCGAUGUUCUUCCUUAUGAUUUAUUCUCAUCCAUAUAUCUUUGCUGUUAACCACAGAACCAACAACCAAAACCCAAACCGAUAAGAUUACAAUCAGGGUCUCAUUGAUUUUAUCAAUUAGUUCAGAGGAAGGCUUCGGGUAUUUUAAACAGCAAACUUUUUAGAGACUCGAUAGGUCUUUUUCAUUUUUG
ensembl:lncRNA